UGGGGAAUAUUGCACAAUGGGCGCAAGCCUGAUGCAGCCAUGCCGCGUGUAUGAAGAAGGCCUUCGGGUUGUAAAGUACUUUCAGCGGGGAGGAAGGUGUUGAGGCUAAUAACCUCAGCAAUUGACGUUACCCGCAGAAGAAGCACCGGCUAACUCCGUGCCAGCAGCCGCGGUAAUACGGAGGGUGCAAGCGUUAAUCGGAAUUACUGGGCGUAAAGCGCACGCAGGCGGUGUGUCAAGUCGGAUGUGAAAUCCCCGGGCUCAACCUGGGAACUGCAUUCGAAACUGGCAGGCUAGAGUCUUGUAGAGGGGGGUAGAAUUCCAGGUGUAGCGGUGAAAUGCGUAGAGAUCUGGAGGAAUACCGGUGGCGAAGGCGGCCCCCUGGACAAAGACUGACGCUCAGGUGCGAAAGCGUGGGGAGCAAACA
rnacentral:rRNA from 1 species